UAUGGCCAUAUCAUGUAGAAACACUUGUUCUUGUAUGAUCAUUGAAGUUAAGCAUCAUUGAGUCUGGUUAGUACCUAGAUGGGUGACUGCUUGGGAAUAACAGGUACUGUAUG